GACAUCGACGACGACGCAAAUGUGGCGGCUUCCGGUGCUGGGGAUUGAUGCGUUGGCAGGUGAAAGGAGUAGUGCUUUGAGGAGUAGUGUCGAUUUUUUUUUUUUUAUUUUUUUUUUAUUUGGGGAUGUUUGAGCUCGAAUUAUUUUACCAAGGAAGGAAAAGGGGAAACUAAUUUUGUUAAAAAAAACUUAAUAAAUACAAGCUGCUACUUGAACUAGCGGUUUCUAAUAAGUAAACCGCUACUUGAAGUAGCAGUUUUUAAUCAGUACACCGCUACUUGAAGUAGCGGUUUUUAAUCAGUACACUGCUACUUGAGGUAGCGGUUUCUGAUAAACCCGUUUUAAAAUUAAUUCCCACUGAACCGGUGACGUGGACGAUAAGGUGGGAAUUAAAAAAAGAUUAGCUGUAAUUUGGGAAUAAUAAACAGUAUCUAUAAGCGGAGGUGGUUAAAAAAUUAAAAGAGAGAAAGAAAGGGUUUAUUUUUUUUGGAUAUGUUUUUUUUUUUUUUCUUGGAUAUGUUAUGUUAUUAUUAUUCAAUAAAAGUUUAUACUUCCAGCAGUUCAAAUAAUUAGUAUCUAUAAGCUCUGUUCAAAUGAAUAGUGCAAUGAUGUUAUUACCCCUGCCUUUAGUUAAAUAAAUAAAUAAAAAAAAAAAUCUUUUUUGACUGUCAUCUCCCGGUUUUCAUCUAAACCUUUCAUUUUGCUUUGGAUUUUUUAACGUAAAUAGACCAAUCUUUGGCAAACCUAUAAAUCUGCCCAUAUUGGACAGAAGUUUGCCCUUUUUUGCCCAUAAUGGACCAAGCAGGUCACCUACCUAUUAUAACAGGUAAAAGUCCACUUGUCAUUAAACCAUUGGUCAAUUUUUUUUUUUUUUUUUAAUUUUUAAAUUUUGAAUUUUUUUUUUUUUUUAAAAAAGAAAUAAAUAAUAAAAAAAAAAACCAAAACCACCCCACUGCCAGCCCCCUCCCCUCACCCCACUACCAGCCACACCCCACAACAAAGAACAACCACAACAUCAACACCAAUCGCCAGCAACACCUCCAAGCACAGCACCACCACCGCCUCUCCAUAACCACCAUAACAGCCACCACUUGAUCCCCACCUAACCUGCCCCUCCUCCUCUUCAAAGUCGAAGUCGCUGCCCCUCCUCGUGAGAGUCCCCGCCCCCCUUGUCGAAAUUGAAACUAAAACCCUAGAAAUUGAAAAGCGAAAAGGGGAAUGUAACAUUAAGUUUGAAAACUCAAAUCUAAUGCAAAAUUGGUAAAUAUGGGAGGUGAAUUUAGGGGGAUUAUGACCGGUUUUAUAAGUGAGUUUGUGGUGGUUUCGGGGUGGGUGGUGGUUAUGGCGGAGAGCGAGGAGAGAGAGAGGAGGGUGAAGGGAGGAGAUGAGGUGGCAGAAGGAAGGUGAAGUGAGGAGGUUGUUGAAGGGUUUUGAGAUGGAUUUGCAGAUUAUGAUUUCACGAAGAGGGAGUUUGAUGAAGAUCAUGUGAAGGGUGUCUUGAGGGAGACGGUAGAUUGGGGGAGAAUCCAUUGAUGAAGGAGGAGAGAGAAAGUUGAAGGUUGUUAAUGGCGGAAAUUUUGGAUUUAGGAGAGAGAAAGUGAAGGGGAGAAGGAAGUGAGAAUGGGUGGGUGUGUCCGAGUUAACUCGAGUAUGACUCAGGUAACUUGAAUAACCGGUUGCCGGUAAACUCAGUCUAUUAUGGGCGAAAAAUGGCAAAUUUCUGUCUAAUAUGGGCAGAUUUAUAGGUUUGUGCAUUUUGGGAGAACCGGGCAAAGGUUUCUAUUUACGUUAAAAAAUCCUUUUUGCUUUUGAAGAAUCUCAUUCAAUCUCUCUCCUCACUCUUCUUCUCCCAUCUUUUCCACUCUCAUCUCCUUCUCCAUAUUUUGGGAGCUAAUAAAGUUGCCUGCACGAGCUGUUCUUCAAGUGCAACCAAGAGGCAGCUUAGGUGAAUUAUAUGCAGUGCAGCUUGGGAAGUGGAGGUUAGAUGCUGAAAUAGAAGACAUUGCAUACUAAUUAAAUCAAUGGAUGGCCAACAAUCUAAUCCGUCACCACGGAGACCUUGCAGCAGUAAGCGUAGGUGCACAAUUGUGAGGCUAUCUCAGCCUGAGAGUUUUGGUGGUAAUAGGGAGGAGUAAUCAGCUCUUCUCUCCAGUAGUCUUCCGGGUGACCAUUCUCUUUUGUGGCCUUUUGGUCAUUUUUUUUGCCUGAAACAAGGGGUAAGGUACUAUGUGAUACCAUGGAAGAGCAAGAAGCUCGAGAUAAGACUGGUAGUUGUAUCCCAAUUCUAUGAUGGCUUCAGGUCUGUUGUUUUACGUUGCUGCAUUUUUCCCGUUUUUGUUUUAUGUAUUGUUUUUAUCAUUUGUCAUUUUAAUGCUUAGGAGAUGGUAUAUAAUAUCGCUGUGCAUUGACACCACAUUGUAGAGAAUGAGAAAUGAUAAUGAGUUUUCAACAUGCAGUCCACCCAUAUACAAUCUUACAGGCCAAGAAGUAGAAUUUCAACCAGAUGCCGGUAUCUAUUAAGCUUUAGAGAAGCCUUUAUUUUUUUUAAAGAAUUAUGUAGUAAGUCCUUGCUAGGAGCAAUUGAUCAGAAAUAAGGCAUUGUAGCUGUAGACCUUCGCUACCCUGCUUCAAUGUAAUCUACAGUGGUGUUGUUGCUCUUCUUGAUCUAUAGUAAAAAUUUUCUUGUUUGGGGGUGAAUAAUGGUUUAGGGUGUUUGGUGAUGUCUUGAUGUGUUAUGAGGUCUGAAGUUGCUAACUGUGUCUUUGGCUGUGUGUAAUGUCAUAUCAUUUGUUGAGUGUUUUUUGUCAGAUUUUAGAACAUUGAAAGUGUUGUUGGUGCAUAUGCCUCCUGCUCAUGUAGUCUUAAUACUUUGAAUAUACACAAGGACUUGUGGGGGCAUGCCUAAAUACAUGGGUGAUGCAUUGCUUCAAACAUUACAAGCGUAAAUAAUUGAAUAGUAAGUCUGUGCUUUCACGAGUGAUGACUUUCUGGAACAAAAUGAUCGAAGAUACAAUGAAAAUUUUAUGUGUUUGCUUUCUGACACCGAUACAGUUUUCUAGCCUUAACAAGAAGUUUUCUUUUCAAUUUUCAAGCACGAGUUAGUAGGUAUCUAUUAUCUUUGGGAAGUAGAGUGGCAAUGAGUGUUUCUCUAUGAUAUACAAAUUUUUUUUGGAAAUCCUCAGCUUCUAUUUUCUAGCAUAUGUUGGUAGGUAUCUAUUAUUUUUGGGAAGACACCUGCAAUAAGUGGUUUUCUAUGAUUCAUAAACAUUUUUAAGAAAUCCUCAUCCUUGAUCAACAUAAUGUAGAGAAUGAAAUUUUGGGGUAACAAGUGUUUUGACUAGACCUGGUGGAACUGAAGAAACUCAGGCAGCGUUGCAUACAAUGAUUUGCUGGAAGAUUUGAUGAUUGUAUUUCUGCAGUGUCACUAAGCUAGGUUUGGUACUAAAUGUGGUGAAGAAUUGAAUGUAAUAGAAUUUUUGUCAACAGGAAGAAACACAUAAAGCAACAUUACCCAAUUACAGGAUAAGGCCUUUAAAAACACUGAAAGUUGAGAUCAGAGAAGAGGUUAACAGAACCAUUGGCCUGUUGCUUUACAUAAAUUGACUAGAGUGCAUAUUUGAGAGAAGUGCCGUGAUUGUACAUACAUAUUUGCUGCCUUAUAUCUUUGCAAAUAUGAUACGAUAUAUAUAAUGUUAAUGGUGCAACAGUUGAACCUUAGAUCUAGUGUUUUUUUUAAUUUAAAUAUUGUUUCUUUUUUCACAUGUUAUGACUGAAGACCAUCUAUUAGUACAUUAUAACAUUACAUCUUUAUGAACACUCCAGCAUGUUAUUCAUAUCAUUCUCUUGUUAUCCUGUGGUUUUUGAAUCAUCCUUGAAAAUAGGUUUUCCAGAUGCUAGAGCUAGUUUGGUAGAUCAUGAAAAUAGGUUCCACUUGCCUCAUUGCAUCUUAUACAAUGAUGUAACUGGCUUGAUUUCUGCUAGUUGUAUUAAGCAAGAGAUUGUUUUUAUGUCUUGCAUGUUUAGGAUAUUUCAUGAAUUUUGGCUUUGUAAGUAAGCUGUUACUUUUUUCGUUUUUCAUUUCAAAGACCAAUUCCAGAUUGUUGUAUAUAUGCUUUUUGUUUCCUUUGGAUGCAUUCUGUAGAUCAUGCUGGCAAUUUUUUCUGUAUGUAACAUGAAUGUCGAACAUCAUAUGUAAAUAAGCAUUUGAUCCAUCCGUAUUUCUUUUGUAGGACUUUUCAAUUAAAUUACAAACUCUUUUCACUUGUUUUACAAGUUGUUAUAGUAUUAUGGCUAUCAGUUGUCAUGUGUACUUGGCAUUCUCUUAUAUAGAGUUGGCUACCUUGGAGAUGAUAUUGAUGUGACUCAUAUGAGGAUUGAGGACACAGGCCAAACACUUUAUGCGUUUUCCCAGAGCACAACAAGUAUGACAUAUCUACACAACACAAGUACGGGUAUCACUAACUUGACGUGAAUUUCUAUCGUAGUGAAGAAAUCUUUGCUAGACAAGUUAAAGUAUUAUAAAGUACUUUUCUCUCAGAAGAACAGCAAGUUCCUGCCUAUCAUUCUCCCGCUAUAUAUUGACCAUUGAGUAGAAAAGCUUGCAUCAGAGUGGAUUCUGACUGAUCACGAAGCAACCAACAUAAUUGUCCCACUGAGGCUCGGAUAAUGACACUUUAGAGUUUAUAUUUCUCUGGGUGAAUUGUCAUUAAUGCAACCAUACUAAUUAUCACAUAUGACAUACAAUUUUUGGUUGUAUUCUGUGUAUCUACAUACGUGUGGAGCACAUUGAUCUUACCUUUAUUGACUUACAAGAGUAGGAACAAAGAUCCUUUUUUAUUGCAUCUGCAUAAUCUUACUGAUUACAUUAUAUCUUUGCUCGAUUAUACGAAGUACUAUUGCUUGUUAACUGACCAUCAACUCAUAUUGAUUUGAAAACCCUAUGUACCUAACUAAUAUGCUUUUAAAAGUUAUAACAUGUCAUAAUAUUCUUAAUGAGCAAAUAGCACUUAAGAAUGGGAAAGCUAGUUAAUUAAGGGUGCUAUCAACAUUAUACCCUUUGUCGUUGAUACAUUGUAAUAAUUAGCCUAUUGGUGUUCCAUAAUCUAUAGGUGUUGAAUUAGCCUAUUGUCUUCCAUGGGAGAUUUAUCACUAGGUCGAAAGAACCUUGUCUCCCUCUCCUGCUUGAUUAUGUCACUAGCUUUACUUGCCUCAGCCUUUUCUCCUAACAUAUGGCUUUACUCCAUAAUCCAUAUUCCGCUUUGUUGCUUGUUGUGUUAUGCAUAGGCCUCCUGUGAGGUACACUUAUGCUCGUCGCAACAAAAAGGGCAAUAUUGACAUUAACUAAUAUUUUAUAUUUUUGCUUAGCCAAUGAAAGGGAGGGAAUAAGGAUGAAUGGUGCUUAUAUAUGUAAUGAGGUUAGCAGUAUUGGGAUUCAUUCAAGAGAAAAGAGAGAAAAUAGUUUGUAUUGUAGAAUAGUUUGUCUUUAGUGCUGGGGUAGGUUUCACUUCAAUCAAUCAAUACAAGCUUUCCCCUUCCAUAUCUUUCUGUGCAGCCUUUAUUACACUCUUACUGUUAAUAUUGCUUGCACCAUUAUCUGUAGCUAUCACUCCCCUGCCAGCAAGUCAUAACAUGUUGGUCGUGUAUCCAUUACCAUUUCUUCUUUUGUCCUCUUAUCAGAGUGGGUUGGUAAGCGGUGGAGAGGACAAAUUGUUAUGCUUGGCUUACUCUUCUUAUCAUUGGGAUUGUUAACCUUGACGGCUUUGGCUUGCCUGACUCGUGGCUCUUCAUGAGGGGGCGACAAAUGGACGCUGUGAAAGUGCUAAAAAGUAUUGGCACCCUAGAUGAUCAGAUGAUCUCUUCGUUGCCAAACAUGCUAGAAUUCGAACAAGACGGAGUUCAGUGUUGGGCUUCUGCACAUUUAGUGGUGCUGCCAGCGUAAUUUUCAUCACAGUUGGUCAUUUUCAUAAAGUGGAGUUGUUUCCUACUUGUAUCGGGAACACUGCAGCCUCACUAUCCAGGCAAGCACUGCUGUUUGUGUCUAUCUUUGUUCCGGUUUUGGUGGUAAUACUGUGAUAGGGAGGAGUAAUGAGAGAACAGAUUAACUAAUAUUGCACCAUGAAAAAAAAUGGCAUAUACACACAACUCAUAUUCAUGCAUUUUCUCUUCCAGUUUGGCUACUCUCCUUGGAAGAUUAUCUGCUUCAUGUUGUGCUAUCGAAACCUGCAAGUAAAGGGAUCUUAGUGUGGGAUAUCUGUAGUUAUAAGCUUAGAGUUGUAGUAGCUAUCAAGUAUAACGCAUGGAGUUAUGAAAGUGCCAAGAAACCAUGAAUUUUAUCUUAUCCUCAAUACAUUGAAAAAAAAGUUUAAAUUUAUCCUCAUUUGUCAACAGCUCUUCAACUUGUGCCUUUAAUUUGUCUCGCUCAUCAGUCAUCAGCUUGAGGUUGUUUAUCUAUAAUAAGCAGAUUAAUACUUCCACCGUGUCAAAUAAGUUGCAAUAAACUUCUCAAAACUGAUUCUGCUGAGCGUUAAUUGAAGAAAGACAGAUAGGGAGAAAUGAAUUUCUAAAUAAAGAAAUAAAACAUUGUAGCAACUUAUAUGAAAUUUUUAGAAAUUACAUGUUAUGCAUCAGUAUGAGUAGGCUAAGGGUAUUUUAGAAUGUUUUAAUAAUUUAGAUACUAGAAGGUCUCUAGAGUUGUUAACUAGGUUAUCACAUAGGAUGAUGAAUGAUGAAAGUUUGAUGUUAUGUUGUGUAUUAUUAAGUUGUAUUAUCGUCUUCUCUUGUAUUAUUUCAUAUCAUUAUCAAUAUUAGUCCAUUUUUCCUUAUUUAGUCCAGCUUAAUCAUAUUAAUCACAGCCCAAAGUCAGUUCACAACAUUACAUAAGUUGCAACUAAUUUUAUACGCAGUGAGUAGCAACUUACUCUUUCCUCUAAACAGAAAUAAAUAGACAAAAGGAUAUAGGUUUUUACUAACCAGCUUUUCCACCUGAGCAUCACGUAUGCCGAUCUCGUCGGCCAUACUGUCUUGCACUCUAAGAGAUUCACUUAGCUAAAUACAUUAAAACAAAGAAAAAAUUAACACUAAUGGUAAAAAGUAAAAAAACCUAUUUAAUCAACGAAAAAUACUUUAAAUAAUAAUCCAACCUUUGUCCAAUUCUCCCAGAAUAAACCAACCUUUGGAUUAUUCAACCUUUUACCCCCAUCUUCCCAUAUCAACCCAGCGGGUCACCGAGCUGGUAUAACCGAUUGUUUUGCCUACGUGUCAUUUUCUUAUUGGUUUAUUUUUUAUUUAUUAUUUUUUUUAAAAAAAAACCCACCCCACUUCUUUCUCUCUCCUCUCUCUUUCUCCAUGACCACCUCCUUCAUCCUUCCUCCAUGACCACCUCCUUACCUCCCCUCCCACUUACCCACCAACAUCACUACAACCCACAACAACCACCACGAAAUCAGCCCCAUAUCCCCACCCACCUCCAUUUCCGUCACGCCCACCACAAACUCGACCGAUAUCCCCAGCUUCAUUUCUAUCACCCUCGAUUCACCAACACCAAAAUCAGCCAUCGCGUACUCCCUUUAACCACCGCUUCUUUCUCUAUCUUCCCCCACCACCACCGUUGUCAAAACUACCUACCCUGUGCUCUCUCCUCGUCAACUCCCUCUUCACAACCCACCACCACAACUACCAUCCCUCACUAUGCAACAAUGCCGUAAGUAAAACCACCACCCCCACCAUCCAUGCCAUCACCAAAACCGUGGUUCAUAGAGGAAAGAGAAAGGAGGUGAGAAAUUUGGUGGAUGGUUUUCUAGAGAGAGAAGAAGAGAAGGUAGUUGGGUAAAGGUUAUGGGUGGGUGAAGGGAUGAUUUUGUAUGGGUGAGCGGUUAAUUCGAUGGUGUGGCGGUGGGUUUUCGGUGGCGAGGGGGCUGAUUUCGUAUGUUAGGGUUGUUUUGGGGGUGAGGGUUGUUUACAGGUGAGUAAUGGUUUGAUUUGGGUUUGGGGUGGUUGCUUUCAUGAGGGUGGGGUCCUUAACAGGUGGUUGACAGGUUGUUUUGGAGCUGGACGGAGGUUGUUUUGGGGCUGGACGGGGGUUGAGUCAUGGUGAAGUGCGGUAGGUGGUGGUUGUCUUGGUGCUAGUGGUGGCCAAAGGUGUAUGUGGUGGUUGUUUUUUGUAUAAGGUGGUCAAAACGAAAAAAAUGAAAUAAAAAAAUAGAACAUGUCAUUUGGGUUCGUUAUUGGAAGAUGGGGGUAAAAGGUUGAAUUAUUUUGAAAUAAUCCAAAGGUUGGUUUAUUUUGGGAGAAUGGAGCAAAAGUUGGAUUAUUUAUAAUAAUUUUUCCUUUAAUCAAUUGUUAAAAUAUUUAAAAUAAUUUCAUUGUUAGGGAUAGAAAAUUUACCCUUUUCAGGAGACUUGUAUUCAGAUUCUUUAGAUCUAACCACUGCAAUAAAAGUACAGUUAACACAUCAAUUUAAUGGUGCAAUUUUAAAAUUAAGAUCUAUCUAACUUAUUAUACAAGUAAUUUACCUUUUCAAGCGCAUCAAUAUUCUUCUUUUGUAGCCUUUGUACCCGCGGUAAGAGACACAUCACUUUAUUAGUACAAAUUAAGACGCUUUAGAAACUUGGAUGAAAUAAUUUAGCAACCAAAAUAUGGAGUAUAAAACAAUCAGAUAAAAAAUUUCAAUUUGACAUAUAUCUCUCUCACUCUUUCUAAUGAGAUGGAUUGGUGUGUAACUUUUUCACUAACUAUGCACAGUUUUGUUUUACACUACUACAAAAGGUUGAAAAUCCAACACUUAAUUAACAAUGAUUCCUUCUCCAUCUGUUGUUAUAAGGGGUUCUUAUAAAUUUUAUUGAUUUAAAACAAACAUACAACAAUGGUUAAGAAUAAACCGCUAUUAUAUGGCCAAUAUGGGGUACCACUAACAAUGGGUCAAUCUUUAUUCGUCAAUGAACAAUUAAUUGUGUAUAAAAAAUGAACAAUUAAACAAAAAAAAAAAUAGAAAAAGAAAAAGAGUUUUCUUGGUUCCCACUACUAUUCUGUUUUCAAACUUUUUAGAUUAGGUUUCUUCACUUAUUCUCCCAAAUUCUACACCGUUUCUCUAAUUUUGUUUGUCUCAUGAUCCGUUGCUCUCAUCAUUUCUCGAUAUAUCGAUUUUCUUUCAAUCCGAGUCACGAAGGGUUCAACAAUAUGAUUUUCUUCUGAUUCAAUUACACCAAGAAUUUUUGCAAGGUUCGUGUUCUUUCAUUAAAAGAUUCUGUUAUAUGAAGGACAUUGUUAUAAUUUUGUUUUUGUUUUAGUGGAUUGCUAAACAUCGCCCGCAAAUCUCCACAUAAAGCCCACAAAUUUUCAUUGAAUUGACACUUUUGCCCUUAAUAU